UGUGAUCAAAUCAGAAGCGUAAGUGUUUGCUUACCCUGUGUAACCCUGAUCUGGGGUUGCCCAAUGCUGCGGGUCCGUUCAAUGUAGAGCACAGAACCUCUGCAGUGUUAGGGGUGCAUCUGGCAGCUCUGCUUUGCCCCCAAAUCCUAGUGUGUGGUGGUGCAAAGGCACCAGCAGGUAAAUUUGGUCUUACACAGCUUUUCUGUUAUGCUGCUCUUGGACAUCACUGGAGGAACAGCUCAAGCAGAGGAGAUGAGUUUAGUAACACCAAGCUCUUUCUUCAUGCUUUUGCCUAUAUAUGUGGACUAAUCACAUUCUCUGCAGUGCACUUUGUGUCCUGUGCCUUCAGAUUUGUAAUAAAUUGUGGCAUAUGAGCACUAAAUGGCGGUGGAAAUUAGAGCUGGAUGUGUUUUGUUGCAUUAACUAGUUUACCACUAGGCUGGACCUAGGUACUUCACGUACAGGAGAUGGUAUCAUAAGCAGAGGGAGAAUUUAAUUACAAUGAUGAAUUUAAUGCUGUGAUGGGUUUUAGAUGCAGCGGUGCCAUCCACUACUUGCGGUUACUCCAUUGCUUAGCAACCCUGGUGCCAGGCAGCGAGCCCCAAAACGCCGUUCCUCGUCCCUUAAAGCAUGAAUACAUCGAAACCUAAACAUCCUCCCAGGGAAUGCAGGCGGUGGUUCAACAUCAGACUGAUUGCACGAGCUCCUCCUCGGCCAGCAGCUCCUCUAACACCAAGCAGACCCAGGAGCUCCUCAAGGCAUAGCUCUGCUGCCUCGCAGGGCUGUAGAUCACUCAGGUGGGUAGAAAAACUAAUUUUUUUUCUUUGCUUCCUUCUCUCCUAAUUCUCCUUCCACUCAUUUUUACCUAAUCUAAGAGGAAGCCCUCUUGCACUGCAUGUCUUGACUAUGUCAAGGUCUUUGUAGGUGUUAUUUUCUUGUGGGCUCUGUGACUACACCACGCAGAGGUUAUUGACAAGGGUUGUCCAUCACAGCUUCACGACGCCUCACGUUGUGCUCUGUUAGCACAA
rnacentral:lncRNA from 1 species